UACGUAGGGAGCAAGCGUUGUCCGGAAUCAUUGGGCGUAAAGCGCGCGUAGGUGGCUUCGUAAGUCCGCUGUGAAAGCAAAGGCUCAACCUUUGAAAGCCGGUGGAUACUGCGGAGCUAGAGUCCGGAAGAGGCGAGUGGAAUUCCUGGUGUAGCGGUGGAAUGCGCAGAUAUCAGGAGGAACACCAAUAGUGAAGGCAGCUCGCUGGGACGGUACUGACACUGAGGCGCGAAAGCGUGGGGAGCGAACAGG
rnacentral:rRNA from 1 species